rnacentral:rRNA from 1 species
AGUGAACGCUGGCGGUAGGCCUAACACAUGCAAGUCGAACGGCAGCCCAGUAAGAGCUUGCUCUUACGGGUGGCGAGUGGCGGACGGGUGAGGAAUACAUCGGAAUCUACUUUUUCGUGGGGGAUAACGUAGGGAAACUUACGCUAAUACCGCAUACGACCUACGGGUGAAAGCAGGGGAUCUUCGGACCUUGCGCGAUUGAAUGAGCCGAUGUCGGAUUAGCUAGUUGGCGGGGUAAAGGCCCACCAAGGCGACGAUCCGUAGCUGGUCUGAGAGGAUGAUCAGCCACACUGGAACUGAGACACGGUCCAGACUCCUACGGGAGGCAGCAGUGGGGAAUAUUGGACAAUGGGCGCAAGCCUGAUCCAGCCAUACCGCGUGGGUGAAGAAGGCCUUCGGGUUGUAAAGCCCUUUUGUUGGGAAAGAAAAGCAGCAGGUUAAUACCCCGCUGUUCUGACGGUACCCAAAGAAUAAGCACCGGCUAUCUUCGUG